UCCACCGUGCGAGCUGAGAUGUGGAGAGGACGGGCCGCAGCCCGCAGUGCGUCGUGGGCGAGGAAGGGAGCGGCGCCGAGUCCCCGGCUCCCCGCUCGUCCGCUUCUACUGCCGUCUGCCAGGCGGAUUUAGGGCGGGGGACGGGGCCGGCGGCGCACGCGGAUUUGGGGGGUCGCGGCCGGCGACCCCGCGGGCGAUCUCCGGCUGUCAGAUGCGCGGCCUCCGGUUCCCACGGGACGGGUGGGCCCUUCGUCGGAAAUCUAUCGUCUAUGGAGUGGCGUGGUGUCGCGUCGUUUCGUGUCGUACGGGGCGCGCGGCGCCGUGGCGGUGGCCCAUCCAAACCGUACGUUGCGGGUGGACGGAGAUAACAGCGCCGUCAGCGCGCCAAAACUUCUUCGAAUCGAUUCAUCGGGUGGUGUCCUCCUAUAAAAAACUUGUUAAUAAGGUAAAUCGUUUUCUCGUUACUACUAAGCAGUAAAUAGUUAAUUAUUAUAUGUUUUUGACAAAUGAAAUAGUCCAAUCCAUCGUGUAUUUCUACUCAUCCUAUUAUAAACUAUAUAGUUCACUUUAGCCCUUGUUUACUUCCCAAGUUGGGAGGUGCCAAAUUGGCAUUUUGCCAUAAAUGCGACACUGUAGCGUUUCGUUUGUAUUUGUGAAUUAUUGUCCAAAUAUUGACUAAUUAGGCUCAAAAGAUUCGUCUCGCAAAGUACAACAAAACUGUGCAAUUAGUUUUUGAUUUCGUCUACAUUUAGUACUCCAUGCAUGUACCGCAAGUUUGAUGUGAUGGGGAAUCUUUUUUUUGCAUAGUGUCAAAGUUGGAAGUUUGGAGGGAAGUAAACAAGGGUUUAGUUUUAUAGAGUAUUAGUUUUCUUCUAUUUCAAACAUCCGGACCAUGUGACUUUGACUGCUCUGUUAGAACACCAAGUCAACCAUGAGAGGAAGGCAAUAAUGCAAAGGAUCGGUGGUUCGACUGCUAUCCUUGUACUCUCGUCUGGUUGUGGUAUUUCUUUGAUCCAGUGUAAAUUACAUUUGUGCUUAGUCAAUGUGUAGCCACUUCAAUACUCCUUCUAACAUGCGUACUCUCACAUGCCUCAAACGUGAAAAUAGGAGUCUGCUGUAAUUAUUUUAUUUAAUCAUGCCAAUUAAUAUUUAAACUUGAACCUCUAGUUCCAAUAUAAUAUUAAAUUACAUGCACCCAGCAUUUCAAUCCAAAAGUUUAACCUUAUGAAAAUGUGGGCAACUCAACUAGAUUCUAAGAUAUAGAAGAAAUCUAAUGGAUAUAUUUAAUUUGAAACGUGUAGUAGUAUCAACUGUCAUGGCAUGGCGUUUAAAAAAAAACUACCCUGCAAAGAGAGAAGUUAAUUUUUUUUUUUUUGCAAAAGACCUCUAAGACAUCUUAGAAGAUGUUUGGCACUACUCCACCACAUGUUUCUCCAGUUGCCAUGUGAGGACAAAAUUUGGAAACUCAAUCAGACAAAAGCAUAAAAGGAGACGGUUAACAAAUGUACACACGGCAUUUUUAAGAACGUUGCAUACUUGUAAAAGGUUGAUAGCCAUGGUGAAAAUAAUCAGGCAUUAAAAACCCUUGACGUACAACCUAAUACCCGAUAGAUAUCAAUGGUAUGGGCACGAAAUAUAGAAACCCUCAGCCACUUGUGGAAUUCAAAGAAACUAAGGCAAAGAUUAGAAUUCUAGUAAUUUUUGUGGCAAACCUAAGAACUUGAGCAGUAUACACUUGUGACCAGAACCAUAUCUUUGGUAGUGCUUCAGUAGACUGUAUGAUAAUUGUCGUACCAAAGUUGCACCUUCUUACUCACAUCUUAAUGUUUCUACAUUUCAUACUUACAACCUACAUUUCAUACUUACAACCUGUAUGCAUGUAAUUAGGAUUGACUUUUUAGGUUGCAAAUUUCUUUUAUGGGUGGGUGCAAACUCUAGAUAAACCUAAGUCACCAAUCUAGAUAUAACUGUUUAGGUUCAUUUUGUAGUGUAGGUCAUAUAUAUGUUAAGAUUUUAGUUGUUUUAGGGCAUUUGGGCACUGCUUCCUUUCACAUAUGAAGGGCAUGGUUAUCCCAAGUAGAUCUGGGAUUGGAAUGAUAUCCAUAAUCCAACCAGCGAUAUUGAACUAAAGUCCUAUAGAUGCAACGCUACCAUCUUAUUCAAUCCUAAUAGUAGAUGCUGCCAUCCAAUCCAGUCCAAUCCACGCCGUUGAAAUCCAUAUCCAUCCUACCAAUCCAAUUUAAGCACAGCGAGCAGUAGGUUUCUGCGAAAGCAUACCAAGCAGCUUAGCUUGGUUCGUAGCACUACAAGACUAGUGACUAACCAAAAAGUGUCAUAAACGCGUUUUUUAUCAUAAAUCGUGAUUUAUGACGUGGGAGUGACGAAAACACUUCGUCAUUAGUCGAGCGUCAUAAACCACGACUAGUGACGUUCCUUAUUUCGGUGCGUCACUAAGAUAAUGACAAAUGAAAAUUCAUCCCACAUGUCGUUAUAAACUGGCAUGCCACAUUGGACCACAGUCUGAUGUGGCAUGACGGUUGUGACGAACUGUUUCGUCAUAAAUUGAAUUAGGCUUAGUUCUUGUUGGACCGAGCCCAAUAAUUGCUGUCAUCAUAGAUUGAUUUAGGCCCAACUUGUUGUGCCCAGUCCAAUAAUUCCUGUCAUCAUAGAUUGAUUUAGAUCCAAUUCUCCUUGAAACGAGCCCAAUAAUUGCUGACGUCAUAACUUGGUUUAGUGUAGAGAAGUAGAUGGGAAACACCGCACACCCUAAUGGGGGGGUGACCUCUAUAUAUAUGACCAAUACGGCUUGGAGUACAAGGAAUACAUCAAAUGUACAAGGAAAUGAUAAAUAUAUCCUAAUAUACACAUAUACCUAAUACCCGCCCGCAGUCAAAGUAGGAGGAUCACGGACGCACAGACUGGACCUAAACUCAAUAAACAAAGGAGUUGGCAGGCCCUUCGUCAUGAUAUCCGCGAACUGGUGAGAGGACGGCACAUGGAGGACCCGGACCUCACCCAAGGCCACCUUUUCACGAACAAAGUGAAUAGAGGACGACACAUGGAGGACCCGGACCUCACCCAAGGCUACCUUUUCAUGAACGAAAUGAAUAUCAAUCUUGAUGUGCUUCAUGCGCCGAUGAUGCACCAGGUUGGCUUUCAUGUAGACAGCACUCACAUUGUCAUAGUAGACAACAGUGGCCGAAGCAAGCAGGACAUGAAGCUCCUGAAGAAGUUAACGCAGCCAGCAACAUUCUGCCAUAGCAUGAGCCACAGCCCGAAACUCUGCCUCAGCACUGGAACAAGACACCGUGGUCUGACGCUUGGAGGACCAAGACACCAGAUUGUCGCCGAGGUAGAGGCAGAAGCCGGAGGUGGAGCGUCUAGAGUCCGGACAGCCAGCCCAGUCGAUGUUGGAGUAGGCAGUCAGAGACUGAAUAGGGUUGGUGCCGAUGUGAAGCCCGGAGGAGAGUGUGCCCUUCACAUAGAGCGGGAUGCGCUGGAUUAGGGCCAUGUGGGGCUCGCGCGGGUAAUGCAUAAAAAGGCACACCUGCUGAACCGCAUACGCCAGGUCAGGUUGAGUAAGAGUGAGGUACUGAAGAGCCCCAACAAGACUCUGAUACUCAGAGCCGUCCUGGAGCUUGGCACCGUCGUGUGCCGAAAGCUUGGCAUGAGUGUCAAUGGGAGUCGUUGUAGAGUGACACUCAGCCAUGCCAGCACGCUGAAGCCCAACAAGACUCUGAUACUCAGAGCCGUCCUGGAGCUUGGCGCCGUCGUGUGCCGACAGCUUGGCAUGAGUGUCAAUGGGAGUCGUUGUAGAGUGACAUUCAGCCAUGCCAGCAUGCUGAAGAAGAUCCAGGGCGUACUGUCACUGAGACAGGAACAGGCCCUGUGAGGAACGUGUGACAGAGAUGCCGAGGAAGUGGUGUAGGUCACCAAGAUCCGUCAUGGCGAACUCGGAGUGAAGACACCCCAUGAUGUGUUGAAGAAGAGUUGAGGACGAGGCGGUGAGGAUGAUCGACGUAGAGCAGCAUGUAGGCAAUGCUUGGCCCCUCUUUAUAUACAAAGAGAGAGGUCGGAGGUGGAGGCGACGAAGCCAAACUGUUGAAGGAAGGAGGCGAACCGCUGGUACCACGCCCUCGGGGCUUGCUUCAGUCCAUACAAGGACUUCUGCAGGAGAUAGAUGUGAUCGGGGGUGGUGGGGUCGAUGAAAUCGGGAGGCUGCUGUCAGUAGACAGUCUCCGUGAGGUGUCCAUGAAGAAAUGCAUUCUUCACGUCUAGUUGGUGGAUCGCCCAGGCAUGAGAAGUGGCGAUGUUGAGGACGAUCUGUAUCAUUGUCGGUUUGACAUCCAGACUGAUGGUCUCAUCAUAGUCGAUGCCGUGAUGCUCGGAGAAGCCACGAACCACCCAGCGCGCCUUGUGUCGGGCGAGGGACCCAUCGAUAUGGAACUUAUGCUGGAAGAUCCACUUGCCCGACACGACAUUGGCACUGGGCGACCGCGGGAUGAGGCGCCAGGUGUCGUUGUCGAUGAGAGCCUGGAACUCGUCGACCAUGGUGGCACGCCAGUUGGUGUCAGCCAGAGCACUGCGAUAGUUCGCCGGAAUCGGAGAGGGCGGAGAAGAAGUUGAGGCUGUCAUGCCCUUGUACUGGACCCACUGGAUUGUCCCAAUCAAAGACCAAGUGACAGGGCGCGGAGGGGCAAGUGGUGAUGAGGAGGGUGCAAGAGGCGCUAGGGUCGCGGGCGCGGGGGGAGGACCGUGAGCGCUCGCCCGACCGAUUGGAGCGCAUGCCGGUGCGGUCGGGGCGCUCGCCCGAUCGAUCAGAGCACGCACCGGUGCGGACGGUGCGAUCAGGGCUGCACCCGCGCGUGAUGCGGUCGCGGUCGGAGCAGUCGGGAACGCACCCACGUGCACCGCGGUCGCGGUCCGAGCAGUCGGGAGCGCGGCGGUCGCGAUCGAGGCCAUACCCGCGCGUGGCGCGGUCACGGUCGGAGCAGUCGGGGGUGCACACAAGCGCGCUGCGAUCACGAUCGAAAGCGCUGCGGUCAUGAUCGGAGCAGUCGGGAGCAUGGUGGAGAGCGGCGACUCACCCGCAGAUGGAGUGGCGUAUACGAUCGGCCCGUGUAAUAGGAUGGCGGGGUCGUCGUUAGUGAGUUCCUGCAAAACAAGUGGUGAGGGCCACGACUGCUCAACGUCUGACGACGGAGCGACCGAGAUGGUAGUUGAACAUCAGAGGGGUUCGACAAGAGGAAGUUGAGCUAUGAUGGGUGAGUAGGAUAGGAGGAGAAGGGAAAGAUGGACUCGUCGAAGAUAGCAUGGUGAGAUAUGAUGACUUGACGGGUGGACAAGUCAAGGCAGCGGUACCCCUUGUGAGAUGAGGGAUAACCGAAGAAGACACAGGCUGUGGAGCGAGGAGCAAGCUUGUGGCGUGCCGUGGCUGAGAGGUUGGGGUAGCAAAGACAACCGAAGACACGCAAGUGAGAGUACUCGGGAGGCUGGGAGUAGAGGAGGUGGUAGGGAAUGUCAUUCUUAACGGCAGAACAGGGGUGCCGCUUCAGAAGAUAGGUGGCGGUGGCGAGCGCCUCGGCCCAGUAUGGGGCGGCCAUGGAGGCGUGAAUGAGCAAUGUGCGAGUCAUGUUAUUAAGGGUGCGUAGGACACACUCGGCUUUCCUAUUUUGGGGAGAAGUGUAGGGACAUGAGAGGCGCAAGCGGAUACCCCGAGAAGUCAAAAAGGAUGUGAGAGUCGUAUUGACAAACUUGGUCCUGUUGUUAGCUUGGACGCUUCGAACAGGAAGAUAAAACUGUGUGUGAGCAUAUGCGUAGAAAUCAGUGAUGUGUGAGGCGACUUCAGACUUGUGAACCAGAGGAAACGUCCAACAAAAAUGCGAGAAGUCAUCCGAAAUGACUAGGUAGUAGCGAUAACUAGAGAUGCUAGCUACAGGAGAAGUCCAAACAUCAUAGUGAACUAACUCAAAAGGAGCAGAACUGCAAGGCUAGAAUGUGAGAAAGGUAACCGCGCAUGUUUCUCUAACUGACACGAAUGACAUAGAGUAUGACUAUCUUUAUUACAAGCAAUGGAUGAAGUUUGUCUAAGUGUGGCGAUGGCGGCAGGACCAGAAUGACCAAGACGGAGAUGCCACAAACUGGAGGAGAUGGCAAGGCUGGUGUGGGGCUCUGCAAAGCUGGCUGCUGGGGGCAUGGUGUAAAAAUCGCCAAUGCUAUUGCAGUGAAGAAUCACGCUUCUGGUCGAAAAACCCUUGACAGAAAAACCAAAAGCGUCAAACUCUAUGGUGCAGUUAUUGUCCUUAGUAAACUGACGAACAAAAAUCAAAUUACGAAUCAGAGAAGGAACAACAAGGACAUUGUUAAGACGAAAGUGAGAGGUAGGGGUGGUAAGGGUGGAGUUGCCAUGGCACGUGAAAAUUACCGACAGUAACGGAGGAGUAAGAGGGAGGGAGUCGGGAAAGAAGAAUACCAUCCGAGGAUGACAUGUGGCCGGAUGCACCUAAUUCAACUACCCAGUCGCUGUUCUGCAACGCUAUCUGGUUUAGGGUGGCAACCAGACCCCCCUGGUCCCAAGUUGGCGCCUGAGUGGGCACCUGAACAGGGGCGUAGGUGGCGUGGGCCUGCGGAGGGGGGCUGAGGAGACCAGGGCCACCGGGGCGCCAGCCCCCACUGCUCGACGGGUGCUGACCACCAGCCUGCUGGAAGCCCGUAGCGUCGUAGGAGCUGGCCCUUGGACUAGAACAGAACCACGGGCCGGUGGGCAGUGGGGGCCCACCACGGUGAGAGCCACCGCCGCCAGGGGGCACUUGGAAGCCGCUGCUGCUCUUCUUCUGCCACUUCUUCUUGCUGCCGCUGCCACCGCAGCCGCCGCUGCUGUUGCUACCACCGCUGCCGCCAGUCUGGACAGAACCAGACGGCGGGCGACACCCGCCUGUACAAUCGAAGGAUGAAGACGACGAGGAGUUCCCGAAGAGGAGGGCAGUGGAGUUAGAGAUCUUCUCCUCGUUGGUGAGGCAAGUUCCUUCAAGGCGAGCAUGUCACGCGCCUGGGCGAAGGACGGGAAGCCGACGGUGGAGUUGGCGAUGUCGUCGGAGGUGUUGGAGAAGCACGGGUUGUGGCCACGGAGGAGAUUCAGGAUAAGCUGGGAGUCCUGAACGGGAUCGCCGAUGUCAUAGAGGGUGUCGGUGAGGGUCUUCAUGUGCUGAUAGUACUUGGUGAUGGAGGAGUUGCCAUGCGUCAUGGAGUGGAAGUCAUGGUUGAGGAAGAUCGUCCGGGACUACUUGUUGGCGCGGAAGAGUCCCUCGAUGGCGAGCCAGAGAUCCUGGCCAGUCUGAUCGUCGUCGGUCAUGGUGAGGUCGAGGAUGAAGUCGUCGACGGAGCUGAAGAACCAAGAGCGGACGCAGCAAUCCGCUUUAUCCUAGUCGAGGUCCUAGGGAUGAGGUGCCGCCAUGCCAUCAAUGUGCGACUUGAGGCCGAACUUGCCGCACAUGGACUUGAAGAAGGACGCCCACUUGGAGUAGGCGGAGGACUUCAUCAUCAACGUCAUGGGAAUGUGAGACUUGACAGAGACGGUGGUGUAGGGGUGGACGGCGGGCGUGGGCGCCUGGUACAGGAGGAAGCUGCCGCCACCGUGGCUGGGCACAUCACCGGCUGGGGGAGUGAGGGGCGCGCCGCCAGGAGGAGGACCACCCAGGAGGCGGCAGAGGGGUGCCAGAACUGCCAGGAGGAGCGGUGGCAUCACCGGUAGGAGGGGGGUCACCGCCGGACAGGGAGGAGUCGGCGGAGGAGUAGGUGGCCAUGGUGCGUGGGGCAGGAGGUGCAGUAGAGGGGGUGACGGCAACACAACUGGAGGGGCACCGCCCUAGGGUUUCGUGCGGGACAGGAGGGAGGCGCGAGGGAGAGGAGGAGAGGCCCACGAUCUAAUCUCGUGAUACCAUGUAGAGAAGUAGAUGGGAAACACCACACACCCCAAUGAGGGGGGGUGACCUCUCUAUAUAUAGCCAAUAUGGCUUGGAGUAUAAGGAAUACAUCAAGUGUAUAAGGAAAGGAUAAAUAGAUCCUAAUAGACACAUAUACUUCCUAAUAUUUAGGCCCAAUUCUUGUUAGAUCAAGCGCAACAUAUGCUGACAUCAUAACUUUGUUUAGGCCUAAUAAAAUAAUGGGCCGAGGGGGUGAGCCCACGAAAUUUUGGGCCUAGUUAUUUUCGGGUGUAGCCCAGGUAGCACUUAAUUAAAAUAUAAUCUAAUUUAUUAUUACAUACAAAUCAAUUCAGUAAUUGACAACACCAUUAAUCUUUACAUACCACACAUACAAAUAAAUAUUUUUCAUCACACUUCACACAUUAUUAUUCAUGACCAAAGAACAAGCACAAGCAUAUUAUCUAUAAGAGAUCACAAACCACUACACAUGAUAUCUCUCUGACAAGAACAAAGCUGCCUAGAAACACAUUGAGCACAAACCACAAUACUCACAAACCAGCACAAGCAGCUGGGAGUCAAUGAGCCGAUGCCUAAGAAACACAUUGACCUUACCCUCUGAAGUUUAGCAGUUCAUGAAGGAGGUACUCAGUUUCUCUUACUGAUUUCUUCAAACUCUCAAUCUCCUCGGACUGCAUUUUCAUUGCUGCAUCUGAAGCUUGUGCCUUCAUCUUCAAGUUGCUCAACAGCUACUCCUGUUCAAUAACUUGUUGUCUUAAUUCUGCAGCUUCUUGUAGCCCUCCUAAAGAAAACUUCAGAUCUUGAGCUUGUAGUUGAGGCUGGCUGCAUGGCCACAUAAUCAAGGAAGGGACUUGACUACAAAUCAUGAGGACCAGAAUUUGGUACUACAACCCCAAGGAUUAUUUUCAAUAUUUCAACCUACAAAUGAAAGGAGCAGAAGUCAAACUUCAAUCUGAAACAAAGUAACCGAAUAAAGUAAACAAUACACGAGCAGGAUAAUCACUUGUUUAGUUACAUACUACAACAUGUGAUUGAAUUUCAGCAAUGUAGGAACGUGAUAGUAGGCCCUGCACAAUAAGUAUUUGGUUAGUUGUAUUAGAUAUAAGGAACAGAAUGUACCGUGACCAUAGAAAUACAAAUGCUAGCCUUGCAGAUAGAUCUAGAGUAGCCAAGGUAAGAGAAGAAUCUCAAAUCUAACACAAUACACCGAGAAAUUGAUGACCUCGCUAAAAAAAUACUCUAGCAGCACAAGGGCUGUGGCCACAUCUAGGCGUAACUAGGCUCCGCUCCAGAUAGAAAUAAACUUGAGCAGAGUGCUCGCCGGUGAAGCAGAUGUAGAUCCAGAAAAUUUGAGAGAACUAUAGAGAAAAUAAAUGAGAUUCUCACUUGUGGAGCUCGAAGAUGCAGUGGCUCAUGGUUGGAUGGGGCACCCGGUGCUUGCGUGACAUCCUCGAUCAACUGCUCAGCUGCGCAAGCAUGGGCGCAACCGCUGCAAGGAUGCUGAGAUGUUCCUCCAAGAGUGUCGCUGACCAUGCUGUACCUUGAUGCUCGCCGCCCGUGGAGCUUGCCGCCGCCGCUGAGGUACCCCACGGCCGCCUAGGUCAGCCGCCACCGCAGAUUUAGUUGGACUUUACAUCCAGCAGAGAUGAGAGUGCUGAUUUUGGAAAUACAAGGCUGGAGAUCGGAGGGGCACUGCGGUAGCCAUAUUUUUAUUAUUUGGGGGGAGGUGAGGGAAUACAGAAUUUGAAGAUCCCACUUUCAAUUUCUUGGGUGCAAAAUGAAAAUUUGUUAAGCUGCACUUGCUGCGGGGUCACCGACAAGAUUGUGCGCUCUUAUCGGACCCAUUUGUUAGCGAAGCUUGGUGCAUUUCAUCUUGCAUACAACAUAGACGGGAGAUGGAUAUCUAGAAGAGGCCCACGCUUCAGUGAAUCUGGAUGCGUUUCCAGUUGCUGACCACAAAGGGGAACAUUUGCUUUCUCCAACUAUAAUGCCUAUGCGCCUGUUUUUUUUAACUCAUGUGGAUGUUAGGAUUUUCUUUCUUUUUAUCCUAACCAAAGUGCAUUGGUGUACCCACCGAAUAUUUCGCAUGCCUACCGUGAAUGAAAGCCUGCAUAUUCUGCUCUAUACUUGUGGCAGGAUUCCUAAUCAGUGUAGGCCUGCGUAUUCCGAGCAUCCCACGUAUUUUCAUGGCUACUGUAAUCCCAUGAGGCAUGAGCUAGGAGAAGGUGCACUGCGUUGUUGAUCGGUCAUGGUGCUUCAAUAAAUAGGUGUGCCCCCAAGGCUUUUGCUCAUCGG
rnacentral:lncRNA from 1 species